rnacentral:rRNA from 1 species
UGGGGAAUUUUGGACAAUGGGCGCAAGCCUGAUCCAGCCAUGCCGCGUGCGGGAAGAAGGCCUUCGGGUUGUAAACCGCUUUUGUCAGGGAAGAAAUCUUCUGGGUUAAUACCUCGGGAGGAUGACGGUACCUGAAGAAUAAGCACCGGCUAACUACGUGCCAGCAGCCGCGGUAAUACGUAGGGUGCAAGCGUUAAUCGGAAUUACUGGGCGUAAAGCGUGCGCAGGCGGUUAUGCAAGACAGAUGUGAAAUCCCCGGGCUCAACCUGGGAACUGCAUUUGUGACUGCAUGGCUAGAGUGCGGCAGAGGGGGAUGGAAUUCCGCGUGUAGCAGUGAAAUGCGUAGAUAUGCGGAGGAACACCGAUGGCGAAGGCAAUCCCCUGGGCCUGCACUGACGCUCAUGCACGAAAGCGUGGGGAGCAAACAGGAUUAGAUACCCUGGUAGUCCACGCCCUAAACGAUGUCAACUGGUUGUUGGGUCUUCACUGACUCAGUAACGAAGCUAACGCGUGAAGUUGACCGCCUGGGGAGUACGGCCGCAAGGUUG